rnacentral:rRNA from 1 species
AUGUGUGAAUUCUGGUAUAACACUAACUGGCAUUCAGCUGUGGGUAAAUCCCCCUUUGAAGUGCUCUAUGGGCACCUUCCACGAUUUUUUGGUAUAUCUGCACCAGACUCUAUAGCUCCUGUGGAUAUCCAAGUGUGGCCGGAAGAAAGACAGGCAGUAGUGGAAUCUGUCAGGCAACACCUCCUGAGAGCACGACAACGCAUGAAAAGUCAGGCAGGUAAGCAUCAAAGAGAAAGGCAUUUUGCAGUGGGAGAUAAAGUGUGUCUGAAACUUCAGCCUUAUGUUCAGUCAUCAGUUGUGCAUCGAUCCAACCACAAACUUGCUUUCAAGUAUUUUGGCCCUUAUGAGGUUCUGGAGAAGAUUGGAGAAGUGGCUAAUCGACUGGCACUCCCACCGGGCAGUAAAAUACAUCCCGUUUUUCAUGUCUCGCAACUUAGACAGGUUGUCCAUCCUGACUGCACAAUCCAGAAAGUGCUUCCUUGUGCUACUGGCCAUUUGCAGGUUCCUGUCAAGAUUCUGCAGAAGCGUGUACUUUAA